rfam:Colletotrichum fioriniae PJ7 Scaffold_597.1, whole genome shotgun sequence.
GGCCGGUUGGCCCAAUGGCAAGGCGUCUGACUACGAUUACGUUUACCCUCGUUCGUCUAGGGCGAGGAAAACGUUGACAAAGUAUCAGGAGAUUCUGGGUUCGACCCCCAGGCUGGUCA